CUUACACUAGUAACCCUAAUUUCGAAAUUACCUCCUUCCAUCCAGACUCUAGUUCCAUCGAUCGUUCUGUUCCAGUGUCCUGCUUCGCCUUCACAGACCUGAUUUCCUUCCUGCAAGCAUAGUUCCACCCGAUUUCCUUCGAAAUCGAAGACAGACCUUAUUUCUUGAAUUCUUCCAGAUCCAGCCUCCAUCUGAGUCGAAGACACCUUCGACCGUCCGCUCAGACGACAGUACCUAGACGACGAAGGCAACCUUCCGCUGUUCGGUCGACAACACCCAGGGUCCCAGACGAAGGCGACCUCACUGCGCCUCCUCGAUCUCGGGUCGACCCCGCGACCUCCCUCUCUGAAGCAAGUCUUGUGCUUAAGAUUCCACCUCGAGAGGCCCUUGAAAGUUUGAAGUUCAUCUUUCCCCCCCGUCAAGAAAUAGAUAUUCAAGAUUCCCUGAAUUUAGAAGUGCCGAUGGAGUCAUGUUCAUGAGCACCCUACUGUUCCUCAGUUCCUGACAUCACCAGAUGGUGAGGUCUUGGUUGAACACUUGACAGUACCAUUACCAACGGCAAAUGCCCAAAACUAUAAGCUUGGUGCUUUUAUGGCUUGGCUCACGAAUUUGACUGACAUCGGAAUAUUAUAGCUGAGCCAAAUGUAAAAUACUUAUUCUAAAUUUUGAUGUUCUUGUUUGCCAAGGAAAUGCCUCUUCAUCAUAAUGUCCAUUUUUCUCUCA